AGAGUUUGAUUAUGGCUCAGAACGAACGCUGGCGGCGCGUUUAAGCAUGCAAGUCGAGCGGCAAGGGCCUUCGGGCCCCUAGAGCGGCGGACGGGUGAGUAACACGUGGACAAUCUGCCCCCGGCCCGGGAUAGCCCAGGGAAACCUGGAUUAAUACCGGAUGAGACGGGACCCGCGAUGGCGGGACCCGGGAAAGGCGCUGCGGCGCCGCCGGGGGAUGAGUCUGCGUCCCAUUAGCUAGACGGCGGGGUAACGGCCCACCGUGGCGACGAUGGGUAGCCGGCCUGAGAGGGUGGACGGCCACAUUGGAACUGAGACACGGUCCAGACUCCUACGGGAGGCAGCAGCUAAGAAUCUUCCGCAAUGGGCGAAAGCCUGACGGAGCGACGCCCGCGUGAACGAAGAAGGCCGUGAGGUUGUAAAGUUCUUUUCGGGAGGGGGAACAACCGUGGCAGGGAAUGGCCGCGGGAUGACGUGAAUCCCGGAAUAAGCCCCGGCUAACUACGUGCCAGCCGCUGC
rnacentral:rRNA from 1 species